GUGCCCGUAACUCAGUGGUAGAGUGUGAGAUUGCAAUAACGUUUCUGCAGCGUAAUCGAUCUCGAAGCCGCGUGUUCGAACCACGCCGGGCACU
rfam:Moniliophthora roreri strain MCA 2952 kmer90.96677, whole genome shotgun sequence.